rnacentral:rRNA from 1 species
GACGAACGCUUGCGGCGUGCUUAACACAUGCAAGUCGAACGGAAAGGCCCUGCUUUUGUGGGGUGCUCGAGUGGCGAACGGGUGAGUAACACGUGAGUAACCUGCCCUUGACUUUGGGAUAACUUCAGGAAACUGGGGCUAAUACCGGAUAGGAGCUCCUGCUGCAUGGUGGGGGUUGGAAAGUUUCGGCGGUUGGGGAUGGACUCGCGGCUUAUCAGCUUGUUGGUGGGGUAGUGGCUUACCAAGGCUUUGACGGGUAGCCGGCCUGAGAGGGUGACCGGCCACAUUGGGACUGAGAUACGGCCCAGACUCCUACGGGAGGCAGCAGUGGGGAAUAUUGCACAAUGGGCGGAAGCCUGAUGCAGCAACGCCGCGUGCGGGAUGACGGCCUUCGGGUUGUAAACCGCUUUCGCCUGUGACGAAGCGUGAGUGACGGUAAUGGGUAAAGAAGCACCGGCUAACUACGUGCCAGCAGCCGCGGUGAUACGUAGGGUGCGAGCGUUGUCCGGAUUUAUUGGGCGUGAAGGGCUCGUAGGUGGUUGAUCGCGUCGGAAGUGUAAUCUUGGGGCUUAACCCUGAGCGUGCUUUCGAUACGGGUUGACUUGAGGAAGGUAGGGGAGAAUGGAAUUCCUGGUGGAGCGGUGGAAUGCGCAGAUAUCAGGAGGAACACCAGUGGCGAAGGCGGUUCUCUGGGCCUUUCCUGACGCUGAGGAGCGAAAGCGUGGGGAGCGAACAGGCUUAGAUACCCUGGUAGUCCACGCUGUAAACGGUGGGUACUAGGUGUGGGGUCCAUUCCACGGGUUCCGUGCCGUAGCUAACGCUUUAAGUACCCCGCCUGGGGAGUACGGCCGCAAGGCUAAAACUCAAAGGAAUUGACGGGGCCCCGCACAAGCGGCGGAGCAUGCGGAUUAAUUCGAUGCAACGCGUAGAACCUUACCUGGGUUUGACAUGGAUCGGGAGUGCUCAGAGAUGGGUGUGCCUCUUUUGGGGUCGGUUCACAGGUGGUGCAUGGCUGUCGUCAGCUCGUGUCGUGAGAUGUUGGGUUAAGUCCCGCAACGAGCGCAACCCUUGUUCACUGUUGCCAGCACGUUAUGGUGGGGACUCAGUGGAGACCGCCGGGGUCAACUCGGAGGAAGGUGGGGAUGACGUCAAGUCAUCAUGCCCCUUAUGUCCAGGGCUUCACGCAUGCUACAAUGGCUGGUACAGAGAGUGGCGAGCCUGUGAGGGUGAGCGAAUCUCGGAAAGCCGGUCUCAGUUCGGAUUGGGGUCUGCAACUCGACCUCAUGAAGUCGGAGUCGCUAGUAAUCGCAGAUCAGCAACGCUGCGGUGAAUACGUUCCCGGG